rnacentral:tRNA from 1 species
GCCGGAAUAGCUCAGUUGGGAGAGCGUUAGACUAAAAAAAUUGUUUACGCAACAAUCAUCUAAAGGCCCCGGUUCAAUCCCGGGUUCCGGCA